rnacentral:lncRNA from 1 species
AAUUUUUCUCAUUUCAGAUUUCAUAAAUAAAAAGAAAAUUUCUUCAAACAUUUUUUUGAGCGGAUUAAUAUUCAACAGCAUAGUGAAUUGCUCAAAGGCAAAAAAAUCUAAGUUCAUUAGACCACAUUAAUUCUGUGUCAGAAACCUAUGCUGUGUCAACUAUUUAAUCACAAUCCAAAUUUAGAGCUGAAUCCAGCUUAAAUGUUGUGUCCAUACUUGCCCCA